rnacentral:rRNA from 1 species
UACGGGGGGGGGCAAGCGUUGUUCGGAAUUACUGGGCGUAAAGGGCUCGUAGGCGGCCAACUAAGUCAGACGUGAAAUCCCUCGGCUUAACCGGGGAACUGCGUCUGAUACUGGAUGGCUUGAGAUUGGGAGAGGGAUGCGGAAUUCCAGGUGUAGCGGUGAAAUGCGUAGAUAGUCUGGAGGAACACCGGUGGCGAAGGCGGCAUCCUGGACCAACACUGACGCUGAGGGAGCGAAAAGCCAGGGGAGCAAACGGG